rnacentral:rRNA from 1 species
UACGUAGGGUGCAAGCGUUAAUCGGAAUUACUGGGCGUAAAGCGUGCGCAGGCGGUUCGCUAAGACAGAUGUGAAAUCCCCGGGCUUAACCUGGGAACUGCAUUUGUGACUGGCGGGCUAGAGUAUGGCAGAGGGGGGUAGAAUUCCACGUGUAGCAGUGAAAUGCGUAGAGAUGUGGAGGAAUACCGAUGGCGAAGGCAGUCCCCUGGGCCAAUACUGACGCUCAUGCACGAAAGCGUGGGGAGCAAACAGG